rnacentral:rRNA from 1 species
AAUGGGGGAAACCCUGACGCAGCAACGCCGCGUGAGUGAUGAAGGUCUUCGGAUUGUAAAACUCUGUCUUCAGGGACGAUAAUGACGGUACCUGAGGAGGAAGCCACGGCUAACUACGUGCCAGCAGCCGCGGUAAUACGUAGGUGGCAAGCGUUGUCCGGAUUUACUGGGCGUAAAGAGUAUGUAGGCGGAUAUUUAAGUCAGAUGUGAAAUUCCCGGGCUUAACCUGGGAGCNGCAUUUGAAGCUGGAUAUCUGGAGUGCAGGAGAGGAAAGUGGAAUUCCUAGUGUAGCGGUGAAAUGCGUAGAGAUUAGGAAGAACACCAGUGGCGAAGGCGACUUUCUGGACUGUAACUGACGCUGAGGCUCGAAAGCGUGGGGAGCAAA